GCCGAUGUAGCUCAGUGGUAGAGCUCUCGCCUUGUAAGUGAGUGGCCGUCGGUUCGAGUCCGACCAUCGGCUCCA
rnacentral:tRNA from 1 species